AUAUUUACCUGGCAGGGGAAAUACCAUAGUCACUAAGGUGUUUUUCCUAGGUUGAGGCUUAUCCAUAGCACUCUGGACAUGCUGACACCUGCAAUUUCCCCAAAUGUGGGAAACUAAACUGCAUAAUUUGUGGUACUAGGGGAUUGUGUUCUCUAUCUCCCCUG